rnacentral:lncRNA from 1 species
GAACGUGAGCGGUUCCGAUGGACAAUUACAAUAAUAUAAAAACGUACAUUCAAUUAAACAUGCAAAGAAGAAGACAUAAUAUAAAGUGUUUUUUGUUAAAAAAAAUUUAAAUUUAACUUGGAAGAUGACCUAUUUUCGUUCUAUUUUUCUCUCUAGAGUAUAUCCUCUGACCUCUCUCUAUAAGAUUUGUUUUUGGUUUCUUUCCGAUCACCGGCUUCGGCUGCUCUCUUAGAGCCGGAGUCGGAUUUUCUUUUGUUUUCCGUGACUGAGAGAAACUUUUGAUUGGUACAACCUUCUUCUAGGCGUCUUCGGUUAUAUCUUAGAUCUAUCUGUGCGGAUAUGAUUCUUUAUCCAGUAUCUUUAGCCUUUUGUUGUUGCAUGUAUGUCUUGAGAUUUCUUGGGUUCUUCUCUGGUUUCGAUCUUCUGUCUCCUUGUCCUUUGCAUGCGACAGAAUCCGGAGUCGAUUGCAACUGCUCCUUGUCAUUUACCAUUUGAUAUGAUCGAGAUCUGCUUUUCGUCAAGCUUCAAGUUGGUGUUUAAAGUCGUCUCCUCAUCGACAUCGCCUUAUCCGGUUUGAAGACUAUGGAAAUAGAUUGUUCAGUUGUCUCCUGGGUCUUGAAGCUUUGUUCUCUAUCCUGUUUGGGCUAUUCUCUAUAGGAGGUUGCGUAUCUCGGUGGUUUGAUCAAGAUUUGUCUCCAUCGGUUUGUCUAUUCCCAAGAUUCUCUUUUAAAGUCUACAUGCUAAAUAGAUCUUAAUGUGUUCUGGAUUUAGUUGAUUGUCCCUUGGUGUUCUAGAAGUUUGAUUGUGCUUUGUUUGUUUCUCAGUUUAUGUUCUUGUUUCAUCUUGUCUCCCUUUUAUGGGCUAAUGUUUUCGGAGAUAUAUGUUUAUUCCGCCGGACUUAUGGUUGUGUUCUUAUGUAUAAGUUCUUGAUGUAAUCUUCUGAAUCAAUAUAAUCAAUCAGUG